UCCUCGUUAAGUAAGUCUCGAAAGUAUGCCUGCCACCUCUGCUUGACUUGAGACUCCCCUAUUAGUACUCUACCAUCUUCUCCCUUGAUGCACCUAACUUGGUCAAGAUCACGCGCCUUCCUUUCCCUUGCAUUAGCUAAAUAGAAUAACUUCCUGUCCCCGCCUUCCUCCCCUAAUUCCUCGUACAUGCGACCAAACGCCGCAUUUUUAGCUUCCG
rnacentral:lncRNA from 1 species